rnacentral:rRNA from 1 species
CCAGCGAUUAGCCUGAGUUCCUUAAAUGACUCGGCUAGCAGCUUCCGGGAAACCAAAGUGUUUCGGUUCCGGGGGAAGUAUGGUUGCAAAGCUGAAACUUAAAGGAAUUGACGGAAGGGCACCACCAGGGGUGGAGCCUGCGGCUUAAUUUGACUCAACACGGGGAAACUCACCCGGCCCGGACACCGGAAGGAUUGACAGAUUGAGAGCUCUUUCUUGAUUCGGUGGGUGGUGGUGCAUGGCCGUUCUUAGUUGGUGGAGUGAUUUGUCUGGUUAAUUCCGAUAACGAACGAGACUCUAGCCUACUAAAUAGAUCGUCGGCUUACAAACGCUGAUGAGACUUCUUAGAGGGACAGGCGGCGAUUCAGCCGCACGAAACAGAGCAAUAACAGGUCUGUGAUGCCCUUAGAUGUCCGGGGCCGCACGCGCGCUACACUGAAGUGAUCAGCGUGCAUUUUCAGCCUACUCUGCCAAGAGUGGGAAACCCAAUGAACCUUCUUCGUGAUUGGGAUAGGAGAUUGUAAUUAUUCUCCUUGAACGAGGAAUUCCCAGUAAGCGCGAGUCAUAAGCUCGCGUUGAUUACGUCCCUGCCCUUUGUACACACCGCCCGUCGCUACUACCGAUUGAAUGUUUUAGUGAGGUCUUCAGACUGGCCGGCGCAGCUGCUCUCGUAGUAGCAGCGCUGUGUUUGGG